UCUUGCCCUUCCACCUAGUUUCCAUGUUAUGAUGCAGCAAGAAGGCCCUUGCCAGAUGUGGCUCCUGGAUUGUGGACUUUUCAGCCCCCAGAACUGUGAGCCAAACAAACUUCUUUUGUUCAUAACUUCCCCAGUCUGUGAUAUCCUGUUACAGCAGCAGAAAAUGGACUAAGACACCCAGGGAUGUACCUGGAACCUGGAAAAAGCUGUUGGAAGGUAGCUAGAGAAGAGCUCAUCACAGCAGUAUAAGGACAAUCUCUGCUCUUGUACGCUCAGGGGCAGAUCUGCAUCACGGGCUUGCAUGUCCAAUUUCACCUUGGCACUUGCUUCUCCGAGGGUCUGGACAUGGGGCUUCGUUUGAGUCUGGAAGCAGUGGAGAGGGGCCAGAAGCUCCAGGCCUUGGCUUGGAGAUCUCUACAGGUGUGCAUGGAGAUGUUUGAAGUGCUAAUGGCUGAGACAGAGCAAGUGGCAGAGGCCUAGGAGACGGAGGCUGAAAGAGUCUGAGGAGGAAAGGAGGCACUGAGGGACUCACAUGAAGCUACUCUGUCAGCAUUCUAAAACUUCUGACAUUCUUUUCUAUGAAGAUAAUUGAAUCACCAAAUUUGAUGAAAUGUUCCCCAAAUAUCAGGUGAAAAAAACUCAUCUAAACCUUUGGACUUGGAAUUGCCCACAUAGACCACAUCAGCAAUGGAAGACAGAGCAAAUAACAUGUCGGUUCAAUGUAUGAAGGAGCUUUUCUUUCCCCUGCCCCAACCCUCAGACAGGAUUUUUGUCUGUUUUUCUCACUGUUGAAUCCCAAAAGCAAAGAAGAAUACCUAGCAUAGAGUUAGUGUUCAAGAAACAUUUGCUAAAUGGAUGAACACCUCUUCAUUUUAUGAGAAAUGAAUCUUCCCCAAGAAGGGGCUCCCGGGUGCAUCUUGUGUGUAGACAUCUCUAUGUCCCCAGGCUGCUGUAGAGCUGAGUCAUCUUUGUGCCCACACCUGGGAAGCAGGACCCUUGUUCGUGUUUCUUUGGCCUUGGGCAUGUCAGUGAGUAAGGAGGAUGUGUGGGAUCUGUGUCCAUAUUUACGUAAGAAAGCAAUAUAGCCUACUGCCCCUUUCAUUUUCAGCAAGUGUGUGUUUACACUGGCCUGGGAUCUACUAUAAAGUUUAAUGUUUGGUUAUACAUUUAUUUCUCAGCUACUUUUGUGAAUAAACAUUUUCUAAAACAUAUCUAUUUUAAAAGUGACAAUGUUUGAAUGAAAGAAAGAGGAGGAGUGAAGCCUGGUAGUUAAUUUGCAGAACUUAGAGCCUGAAUUUUUUGGGUUGGAUCUUUGAUUUUACCAUUCAUUAGUUUUGUGAUCUUCCUCAAUUUCCCAAUCUGUAAAAUGGAAAUAAUAAUAGUACCUACCUCAUGGGAUGUCAAGAGUAAAUAUAAAAAAUGUGUGACACCCAGGAAUGACUAUAUAAGUACUAGCAGUUAAUAUUAUUUAUUAUUAUUAUUCCUGCUUGAAUAAUCACUUUGAGCUAAAUCACUUUGUUUUUACUACUAGCAAUAAGCAUGCUUAAAUACUUUUAAUGUUAUUAUAAUUUGUAUUAUAGUAGACUAAUCUGGAAUUUUAUUAAGCAGAAUUCCCUCUAGACAGGCAUCUAUGCAUACGGAGCAAAAAAUGAUGUAUAUAAUAAUAAGUUUGAGGCACUGAAAGAUCUUGAAUGAGCUUCUGAAUCAUCAGUUACUGUAUCUUUGGGGAACACCAGAGAAAGACUCUCCUUACCAUCCUCACUGCAACUAAACUUCGGGACCCUGGGCUUUGGGUUCAUGGUCUCGCCACUGAAAAGGUUCCCUCCACACUUUUGGAAUUGUGCACCCAUUGGAACCCUUGAGGUAAAGCUAACCAGAGAAAUUUCUCCCAAGAAGAAGAAGAUGGCAUCCUUGAAGUGAACAGCUUUUCCCAAGUUCACAGAGUAAGACUUCUACUAUCAUGAAACUCUUAUCUUUGAAUAUUUUUUCUUGCUUAUAUCUCUACUAACAAUAGAAGUGGAAAAAGGGUCUGUUAUGUGCACUUAUGGGGUAUACUUUUAUUUGUGAAGAAGUUUGCAGCCAGCCUUAUACAUGGAUAACCUUCUACUUUGAUAGAGAUGAAGGCCCAAUGCAGGUAAGAAACUUUAGUGGUACAUAUGUUGCCCCAUAAUCACUCAAAAACAAAAUAUUGGUUCAUCCCUCUUAACCCACAUCAUGGGUUAAAGAGAACAUUGCCAGGGGGUCUUCACUCUCCUAGAAGGGCAUCAUUUGUUAAGUCCUUUUUCCAUGGCUUAAAGUAAAGGAAGCAAUGAUUAGAAAUGUAUCCCUCAUGAUAGGCUCUAUAGCAAAUCUACUUUAAAGGCUAUCGUUACACAACAGAUUUUAAAUUCUCUUUGAAAGUUAUGCUAAAUAGAAUUGGCUAAACAAAGAAGUUCUUCUGCAGCUGCUGACACUUGCGGCCUAUGGAGAAACAGGUCAAAUGCAGAUUAUAAAAAUUCAGUGUAGGGGAUUAAUGAAAAGACCACUUAGUCAAGUGAGUAGACUCUUCAUCUAGCUCAUUCUUUAAACUAUUUAAGUGUAGGUGGUUUGGUUUCUAGGGACCCUGGUUAAGGAGCAUACUCUGAACUCUGGGUAUUUUCCUUCCAGUAGUGAUAAUAGUAGUCUCCUUGGUGCACUGUAUUCUCUCAAAGGUUUUAAAUGCUUGCAUGCAGCCAUCUCUAGAACAUCAAAUGGUCUCUCUUCGACUGGAAUGACAACAGCUGAAAGAAAUGUUCAACCAUGAGGACACCAUACCUAUAAAUGAUGUGCUGAGACUGGAAACCCAAAAUGUUGGUAACUGAGAAGUGGCACUAAGGCCCUAAGUUUUGGUUGCACACUCACCUAAGUGAGAACCUGACCAAAAAGGGGGGAUUUUUAAAACAAAACUCUGUGAGGCCAUUGUUUUGGACUAAGCUCAUGCACUCAUGCCCUGGGCCCCAACAGACUAAAGCAAACACAGAUGGAGUCAUUUGUGCUAAGACUUUAAGGAAACGCUUGGAUUCCACAACAGACUAGCUUUUGUUUUUUUCUUCUGCAAAUCUCUAUAACAAACAUUUCUGACAACAUAGGUAUCCACCCCCUGAAGUUCCCAUUAAAUCUUUUAACCAAAUUCAUUUCCUCUCACCUAGAGACCAUCAAGCUUCAGAUGAUGAUGCAACAAAGGUUUCAGCCAGUUCCAGGUGAAGACACCACCCUUGGACAUCAAGAAGCUACCCUGCCUCCACUAGAUAGAGCAGGGAGAGUUCUGUGAUCCCCAAUAGGGCCUUUGUAGACGCUAUCCCUUUGUGGAGAAGACUCUCAACACCCUUCAAAUACUAUGAUCUCAUCAGGAAGGCCCUCCCUGACCACCUAUGCCUGGAACUGUUCUGGGUUUGUGAGACACAGUUGGGAAGAAGACAGACUUGAGCACGGGCAGCGGUGGUUGCCAUGAAGAUGUGUGAGAAGACAGGCCUGCCUGAAAAUGCUGCUGGUCCUGGUACUGUCCUGCCCGCAACAGCACGCACACUCCAGUCUUGCCUUUUCUUGUGCUUUUUUUUCCAUUUCUUUUUAAAGAAAUCUCAUUUCCCUUCUU
rnacentral:lncRNA from 1 species